rnacentral:rRNA from 1 species
CAGUAGCCGCGGUAAUACGGAGGGUGCAAGCGUUAAUCGGAAUUACUGGGCGUAAAGCGCACGCAGGCGGUUUGUUAAGUCAGAUGUGAAAUCCCCGAGCUUAACUUGGGAACUGCAUCUGAAACUGGCAAGCUAGAGUCUUGUAGAGGGGGGUAGAAUUCCAGGUGUAGCGGUGAAAUGCGUAGAGAUCUGGAGGAAUACCGGUGGCGAAGGCGGCCCCCUGGACAAAGACUGACGCUCAUGCACGAAAGCGUGGGGAGCAAACAGGAUUAGAUACCCCGGUAGUCCCUGUCUCUUAUAC